CUGGCAUCAUCCAUCAUCGCUCUGCUCCAUUCAUUCUCCUUCUCUCCCCGUUGAGUAUUUCAUACCAUCCUCUCUCUCCUUAAACCUCCAAUCCCUCCCCUGCAUCCUCAUCGCCCCUGAAAACCUUGCUAUCUAGUCACUGAAAAUGUGGGAAGAACUGAAGUCAACCUCCAGACUCCUGUCCCCACAGCUGCCUUCCCACCGAUUCUAUUUUCAAAUUCUCUACCUCUCUCCUGUGCUUGGCUUCUGGCCAAGACCAGCUCCCAUUCCAUUCAACCACUGAGGGACAGCACCCGCCCCCCACCACCCCUGCUCUCUCCUUCAUCCUUAGUUUUCCAUUUUCUCCUGGCCCAUUCCUCUCAACGAGCAAAUCUGCUAUGAUUCCAACUCUUCGGGGGGGAAAAAAAAAAGGAAAAGAAAAGAUAAAAUGUUCUGUGUCCUACCACCUGCUCCAGAUACUUAUAUUGACUGUUCUGGAAAGGAAAGAACCUUUCACCUUCGCCCCCUCCCAUUCCUUUCCUUAUCCGUCUCAUCUUGCCCUUUGGCUCCACCAGGCAUUCUCGUCGAGGUGGGCCUUGCCCUCCAGAGCACCAGGGUCAGCGGUGAGUUCUCAGCUCCCGUCCUGCUGGACCAUGAGCAGCCUCUGGCAGCACUGAUCACUGCCUUCCUAUUGAAAUACUUCCUUCGCGAGAGUCCAGGACCCCAUGGUCCCCUGGGUUUCCUCCUUCUUCACUGUCUUCUUUGCUGGCUCCCCUUUCUCUCACCAACUUCUCAACAUUGGAGGCCUCUAGGACUCAGCCUGGGCAUGUCUUCAGUUGUUUCACACAGCCCCUUGGUAAUGUCAUCCAGAGGUCUGGCUUUAAAUGCAAUCUACAGGGAAGCGACUCCAAAGUUCUAUCUCCUCCGAACUCUAAAGGACAUCCUUGAUAUGCCGCUCCCCUGCCUAAGCCCUUCAGUGACUCUCCUCUGCCUGGAGAAUGAAGUCCCCAUUCCAGAAUGGCACAGAAAAGCUCUUUUAGGCUCUGCCCCACUCCUUUCAUUCUCCCUUUAUUUCCCAUCCUCACUCUCAGCCUGGCUCUGCCAUGCCCUUUUGUAAUCCUCUGGUUCUGCAAACAUACCAAGCAGCCACUCCCCUCCAGCCUCUGGUUGUCAUCCCCACCAAGGACCACAGCAUCCUCCUCCUCUCCUCCCCUGCUUGGCUAACUCCUACUUCUUCGGCUCUCAGGUGCCUCUGGUCUCAGGGACCAAUGUGAAGGCAGAGGUCCCUCCUAAAGCUCAAACACACCCUGUGCUUGAUUCUGGCACAGAUAUGACCGAGCUGGUCCAUUUCACAUCCAUACAUGGGACUGUGAGGGCAGACACUGUCCCAUCAAGGUGGCAUCUCAGAGAAGACUGUGUGUUGCCCUUCCCUAUAACAUAACCUCAGCCCUGGUUGAGGGGGCACUGUACCCAGCUGCCUCUUCCACCUCCUUAGAGGCAGGGGUGGCCAUGCCUGCAGUCCUGGCCAGUGGGGUGGAGACUUCAUGCUACUGGGAAACCUUUGCUCUCCUAAGAGAACCACGGCCUCUUUCACUUUCCCUCCCAUGAUAUGAAGCCACAGAUGACUUGGCCAAUUGAGACCACAAACAAUAAGCCACAUGUUAAGGGCAGAGGAACAGAGGGACAGAAGGAAGCUGCUGACAUCGUGGAGCCUCUGGGUCUAAACACUGGAUGUCGGUGAUGCGGAAACAGACAAAAAUGCCCCUCCUGUUAGGCUAACCUGCUCUAGUUGUGUCACUGUGAUCCACUGCUGAACACAAUUCUAACCCAAACCAAGUGCCAGUGUUGGCAGAGCUCUUGGUGUCUGGGAGAUGAGACAGUGUGAUUGAUGAAGGAACAGAAGGACCACUCACCAUUCUCCAAAGCCACAUGCACUUAGCCUUGGCCUGGCCUGCCCUCCUCUCCGGUCCCUCUCCCGCCCAUUCUCAUCCACCCAAAGGAAAGCCCUUUCAGAUUCCAGUAGGAAUGCCCUCUCUUCAAGUUGGCACUGACCCAUUCCAUCUUAUGUGCUCCUAGAAUUACUCUUUUUCUUUCUCUCUCUCCCUCUCUUUUUUUUUUUUUUUUUUUUUUUUUUUUUUUUUUUUUUUUGGUCUUCUCAGGGCUGCACUUGUGGCGUAUGGAAGUUCCCAGGCUAGGGAUCAAAUCGGAGCUACAGUGGCCAGCCUACACCACAGCCACCACAAUUCAGGAUUCGAGGUGUGUCUGUGACCUAUGCCACAUCUCGCAGCAACUUGGGAUCCUUAACCCACCGAGCGAGGCCAGGGAUCGAGCCCACAUCCUCAUGGAUGCUAGUUGGGUUAGUUACCACUGAGCCAUGACAGAAACUCCUAGAUUUAUUCAUGUUUAUCAUCCAUCUGCUAGUUAACCCCCUGUGGCUGGUGUUACAGCCAUUUGUGGUUGAUUCCGAACUCCACGCUUAGAAGGCCUAGGGAGUAGGUCAAUGUGUUUGUUUACCACCAACACCCGCUCUGCUUCCCACCCCCUACAGACCCUGGAACUCCGCCUACACAGCAGAGAUAAUCAAUAAACAAAAUUUUUGGAUGAAAACUGUGGCACGCAGCAGCCCAACCCACCCCCUCCAGGAGCUCAUUGCUGACGUGUCACCCACACGCCAUACCACUCUUCCUAUGACAGUUCAUGCUGCCUUGUUUUUGUUGCCUAGAAAUACAUUGCAAGUUCAAGUUUAGCAAGAAGCACUUCCAAAUCCGUGUCUCUGCUCUCGCCUCCCCAUUCCCAAGAUAUUGUCAGUACCUUGGAGAUAGUGGGAGCAGAGUUAUGUGCUGAUCAAAUGCUUGAUUGGGGGCAAAAGCUGAUGAUUGCUGCAGGCGUUGGAGACAUAACGUCUGCCUCUCUUUCUCUCUGAAGGCUUUCCAAACUUAGAGGGUGGUUUUCAGAGCCUUGAUUCCAAGACCCCAUGCAGAGAUUCCAGAAGCACUCAAGCGCCUGGCUUUUAUUUCUUAAAGCAGAUUUCCUAGAACUCAUCCAAGUUCACGGUGGCAUAGUCUCUUUUAACCCAUUGUCCUUCCCAUAACUCUUCGCCAAAGCUCUAUUCUCUCACCUACUUCUUUUGGCGCUUUCUUUUCUCAGCUGUUUUCUAGGUACAAAGAAACUUCCCAUUUGGGAGGGAAAAAAAUCCUUCGAGGACUUUUUAUAGGGGCUGCCCUGAAACUGUAAUUCAUGACAGACUGAAACCUUUCAUCCUUUAGAGCUCAAAGCGGCAAAGAGUCCCCAGGGGACAGAAGCAUUUGGCCAAUGAGUUUGGCCAAACUCUGUAUCCUUGAUUCUUAGAAAUAUAAGCCCGUAAGUUGAUUGAGCAGCAAUACCUAAGUGCCCAUCUGGUUCUGGGGCCCAAGCUCAGGUAUCUCAAGGACCAGGGAGGUGAGAUCAAUGAGUAAUGUUAGGUUCCCAUGAUAAAUGGCAAUUGGCACCCACCUUUAAUUUUGGAGAUCAUCUUUGCCUGGAUUGCCAAGAAAGCAGAGCCUGAGGAAAAGGCUUGCAUGCCCUGAUUUUACCAAGGAGAGCAAGAAUAAAGGCAAGAGGAGUGAGGCAGAGAGAGACAGAGAGACAAUAUAAGGACACAUUAACAAGCUGGCCAUGCUCAAGGGCAACUUAAUGCUCAAUUUUGUGAAACCACCCCCAAGAAGCUGCAGAAACUCUCUGUCUAGAAGAAGAGGAAAGAUUUAGCUACCAGAUGCAAUAUUCCCUGUGUCAACCGUUGGCCCCACUGAGCACUAAGUUCCCCUCCCUUCUGGAGUAAUUCACGAGUGUCUAAAUACAUCCCUCAGUUUCCCAUGUCUUGAUGGCCACAAUGCAGGAGGUGAGAGGUAGGCAGCAGGCAACACAGACAAGAAUCCAGGCCCUCUCAGGUAGUGCCCAUUGGAGCCUGUGCGGAGCUGCUCAUCACUGCAGCAGGAAAAUAGGUGGGUCAGGCCAAGGCAUGCGAAGUGGUGCCUAAGAUAUGCCUACGCCAUCCACCCCUGGCCGCAUCCACCUUGACUUUCCAUUGUAUCUGGCACACAAAAUACAACACAAGCCCUUCUCUUUUGUGGGCCGAGGACUUCCCCUUUUGUUCUGAAGGAGAAGGUCAGUCGGAGUCCCCUUGAAGACAGAAGCAGACAUAACUUUAAAGAGACUAGAGGCAAGAAGAUUGUGAAACAAGCUACAGUCCUCGCUGCUGUGCCUGACCCUGAGGCUGUAACUGAUGCUCACCAUCUUCUUUCUCCACCCUCCACUUCAGGUUUCCCUCAACCUUGGCCGGUACUUUGGCUGGUCUGGAGGGCUAACCUUGUGGGAACCGGCCUUUCAUCCCUAAGGAGUCUGGGUUCCAGUGGCCUUGACCUUGCUGAGUUAUGGUUAUCGUUAUCAUAGAAGCACCAAGAGAGACCCCAAUGAAUCUUCUGGGUUUCAGACAUACUUCUCCCUGCUCGCAUUAGGUUAGCAGACCCACUAGCUCCUCGGUCAUCAGAGUUAAUAAUCCUGCCAACAGAGUGACUACUUUCUGUACUUACUGGUUCGCUGGUACAAAGAGCCUGGAGUAUCUGGGUAAUUACAAGUUCAUGUUCCAUGGUACCUUUACUUUGUCCUCUGGCAGAAGCAUUUUCCACUCAGGAACCAGGACCUCUAACCUGGAAGGGUCUACGUACAGGAAAAGGACGCCCACAUUUCUCAAGGAUAAUGGUGUGAGAAGCAAUCUUAUUUCUACUCCUUGAUUCCCAGUUAUGUGCAUUCGAGCCAUAUUCCCGUCAUGGCACAGUGGAAACAAAUCUGACUAGGAACCGUGAGGUUGUAGGUUCGAUCCUUGGCCUCGCUCAGUGGGUUAAGGAUCCGGCGUUGCCAUGAGCUGUGGUGUAGGUUGCAGACGCGGCUCGGAUCCCACGUUGCUGUGGCUGUAGUGCAGGCCGGCAGCUGUAGCUCCAAUUUGACCCCUAGCCUGGGAACCUCCAUAU
rnacentral:lncRNA from 1 species